UACGAAGGGGGCUAGCGUUGCUCGGAAUCACUGGGCGUAAAGCGCACGUAGGCGGGUCUUUAAGUCAGGGGUGAAAUCCCGGAGCUCAACUCCGGAACUGCCUUUGAUACUGGAGAUCUUGAGUCCGGGAGAGGUGAGUGGAACUCCGAGUGUAGAGGUGAAAUUCGUAGAUAUUCGGAAGAACACCAGUGGCGAAGGCGGGUCACUGGCCCGGUACUGACGCUGAGGUGCGAAAGCGUGGGGAGCAAACAGGG
rnacentral:rRNA from 1 species